GUGUGUGUGUGUGUUUGAUUGCGUGAAUGAGGAGCAGCUGUCACCGUUAAGCCUUUCCCGAUUGCCGAUACGCAAGUGGUCAAGGAGUGGGUCGCCUGAUAUUUUAAACAGCUGCCUCCGGCCUUUCCACCACCAGAGAAUGUCGGACUCAGGUCACUGGUCUUGCUGGCCUUUUCUGGGAGUGGGAAGACUGCGGGAGCACUCUUGCAUGUUGCGUCCAAGGUUCCCCUACACUAGGACAAAACACAAACACAGCAAAAUCCAAUGGAUGAGUCAUUUGAAUGAGUUGCCUACCCCACGCACUUUGGAACAGCUACAAUCGCACUCAGAAGCGCGCCGACCUACGCCAAGGAUUAACAAUCCUAGACUGACAUGUUCCACUCCAGGCCUGCAGGUGCAGCUUGGCCCCAAUGCAAGCGGAUGGUGAACAUCAAGAGCUGUGAUGACUAAAUGACUGUAAUUUGCUGUCAUUUGGCAUGUGUCACCACUACAAAAUGUGUCAUUGUUGUGAAGCUUUUGCAUUAACUCAGGAACAAACCAACAAAAUGUAAUUCAAUAUGUUUCAGUCUUGUGCUCCACAAAGGCAAUAAUUCCAUCCUUGAGUCAUUCGUCUGCAAGUGCACUCAAGUGACACUUUGUAGUUGUUUCAGCGGCGAUGCAUCCAUUUUCCUGAUUUGUCCAGUUUGCAUCUCAGGAUUGAUUUGUCAUUAUGUGUAUAUUGUUUUAGUGAUAUAUUUGUGCUUCAGUCAUUGUGAGCACCUUUUGGUCAUGCGCAUUCAUUAUGUACUGUAUUGAUAAAAUACUGAUAUGUAUUUAGUGAAA